rnacentral:lncRNA from 1 species
GUCCCUGCACCUCCUGCCGCCCCCCCCCCCCAGCAGUAAAUAGUAUUAGGAUGAUUGACAAUACCCCUAUUUUUACAAAGUAUGCAUGAAUGGAAAAAACACAUUUUCUUCCUGUAAAUUGUUAUAGGUUCUGUUCAGGUGCCUGAUGAGAAAGGAAGAUCGAAGCCUUCAUUGCUGAACUUUUCCAUCCUCUGUUGGAAGGAGGAAGGGACCAGGUGAAACCCCGCUGCAGCUGCCAUGCCAACACUUAAACUUUGUGUACUGCAAGCCACCAUCACGUCAGAGAAGAUGCACCAGGCACAAGACCAUGAGGACAUCGGAUCCAAAGAGAGUAAGCUGGGAGUAUAAAGCAGAAUGGAACCAAAUUCAUCCACUGCAGUUGACGGUUACACUAGGGUCUGAAUUUGGCCCAGUGCAUUUAACCACCUUCACCAUGUUCCUGUGA